rnacentral:rRNA from 1 species
GGAGGCAGCAGUAUGGAAUAUUGGGCAACCGGGGGCAAGCCUGACCCAGCCAUGCCGCGCGCAGGAUGACAGCCCUACGGGUUGUAAACUGCCUUUAUACGGGAAAAAACCCCCUGACGUGUCAGAGGCUGAUGGUACCGUAAGAAUAAGCAUCGGCUAACUCCGUGCCAGCAGCCGCGGUAAUACGGAGGAUGCAAGCGUUAUCCGGAUUUACUGGGUUUAAAGGGUGCGCAGGCGGAACGACAAGUCAGUGGUGAAAUCUCCUGGCUCAACCAGGAAACUGCCAUUGAUACUAUCGUUCUUGAGUCCAGUGGAAGUAGGCGGAAUGUAGCAUGUAGCGGUGAAAUGGUUAGAUAUGCUACAGAACACGGAUAGCGAAGGCAGCUUACUAAACUGAAACUGACGCUCAUGCAAGAAAGCGUGGGGAUCAAAAAGGAUUAGAUACCCUGGUACUCCACGCCCUCAAUUAAAUAAGGGGGGUGUUGGCAACUAUAUCGUCAGCGACUAAGCGAAAGCAUUAAGUGAUCCACCUGGGGAGUACGAUCGCAAGGUUGAAACUCAAAGGAAUUGACGGGGGCCCGCACAAGCGGAGGAGCAUGUGGUUUAAUUCGAUGAUACGCGAGGAACCUUACCUGGGCUAGAACGCAGAACGACGUUUCGGGAAACCGGAAUUCUCUUCGGAGCGAUCUGCGAGGUGCUGCAUGGUUGUCGUCAGCUCGUGCCGUGAGGUGUCGGGUUAAGUCCCAUAACGAGCGCAACCCCUAUUCUUAGUUGCCAUCAGGUAAUGCUGGGGACUCUAAGAAAACUGCCUACGCAAGUAGUGAGGAAGGUGGAGAUGACGUCAAAUCAGCACGGCCCUUAUGUCCAGGGCUACACACGUGCUACAAUGGCCGGUACAGAGGGCAGCCACCUGGUGACAGGGAGCAAAUCUCCAAAGCCGGUCUCAGUUCGGAUCGAAGUCUGCAACUCGACUUCGUGAAGUUGGAUUCGCUAGUAAUCGUAUAUCAGCAACGAUACGGUGAAUACGUUCCCGGGCCUUGCACAAACCGCCCGUCAAG